rnacentral:tRNA from 1 species
GGGCGCUUAGCUCAGUGGUGGAGCGCUGCCUUCACACGGCAGAGGUCACAGGUUCGAGCCCUGUAGCGCCCACCA